AUUUUUUGACAUUUCUCUAUUCUUUUUCUUUCCAACAAGAUUUCUAAUGGGAAAAUCUGUGAUGUGAAAGAAUGUGUCAGAGCGAAAUCAAAACAAACAAAAAUACUUCGCAAAUCAGUUCAUUUUGGUUUCGCAAAUUAAUUUGCAAAUUGCAACACUUUUCAAAUCUAGCUUCUUUAAAUAAUAGCAAUUGUAAUAGUUCGGAGCGGUAAGUGUUUCUUUCAUUCCUGUGUUAGUACCAGUCGCGGUCAAAACAUCUUUGGAAAGAACUGACAAGCAACCAUCCCAAGCUGGUGGAUAGAGUCAAAGUCAACGGAAGUAUGUGCCGGAUAGUGUUGUGACGUUAAUUGUACCAACUUUAUCAGAAUAAAUUGAUUUCCGAACAGACGGUGAUGUGGCAGUUUUGGGAUGAAUAACGGACCAGGCAAAAUUCAACCAUUCAACCAACAAAGUUCCAACCAACAUUCCGCGGGACCCUGUAUACACCAAGAAAGGCGAUACCAGUUCCGCCAUGGGAAGAAUUAUUAAAUAUAGGAAUGUCAACGGAAGGAAAUCGUCAAAUAAUGUGGAUUGCAAGUGCAAGAAGAAACGAGAUCAGAUAAAGGGAUGGCGAGCUACAGUACUAAUGCGUUUCUUCUAGUGUUGUGGGCAACGCUACUGCGAUCGGUCCGUGUUGCAGUGAAGUGAAAAUUGCAAUGAUAAUAACGACGUUUGGCAUUUAGAUAGCACUUCUUUGGAAGAACAACGACAAACGUAGCAACACGCCAGCAAUCGCUUGUGAUGCUUUCGGAGGAAGAUUUUGAGCACCUUAUUUGUAGGAGUGACUGCAGUAUCUGACCAAAAUGUUUAAUGACUUUUUAUUCGUGAGCAAAUGAUUACCGAUAAAUGGAACUAAUAAAAAUCGUACCCCAAAUGAAA